UACGUAGGAGACGAGCGUUGUCCGGAGUUACUGGGCGUAAAGGGUGCGCAGGCGGCCUGGCGCGUCGCGAGUGAAAUCUCCUGGCUCAACUGGGAGGGUGGUCGCGAGACGGCUGGGCUUGAGGCUCGGUGAGGGGCGUGGAAUUCCGGGUGGAGCGGUGAAAUGCGUAGAGAUCGGAAAGAACACUAACGGCGAAAGCACUCUGCUGGGCCGACACUGACACUGAGAGACGAAAGCUAGGGGAGCGAAUGGG
rnacentral:rRNA from 1 species